rnacentral:misc_RNA from 1 species
AACGCACAUUGCGCCCCUUGGUAUUCCGGGGGGCAUGCCUGUUCGAGCGUCAUUACAACCCUCAAGCUCGGCUUGGUGUUGGGCGUCACCGUCUCCCGGUGUGCCUCAAAAUCAGUGGCGGCGCCGUCUGGCUCUAAGCGUAGUACACACUCUCGCUAUAGACGCCUGGCGGAGGCUGGCCAGCAACCCCAAUUCAUCAAGGUUGACCUCGGAUCAGGUAGGGAUACCCGCUGAACUUAA